UACGUAGGGGCCUAGCGUUGUCCGGAUUUAUUGGGCGUAAAGAGCUCGUAGGCGGUUCGGCAAGUCGGAUGUGAAAUCUCCACGCUCAACGUGGAGGGGCCAUUCGAAACUGCCGUGACUCGAGUCCGGUAGGGGAGUGUGGAAUUCCCGGUGUAGCGGUGAAAUGCGCAGAUAUCGGGAGGAACACCAGUAGCGAAGGCAGCUCGCUGGGACGUUACUGACACUGAGGCGCGAAAGCGUGGGGAGCGAACAGG
rnacentral:rRNA from 1 species